rnacentral:rRNA from 1 species
GACGAACGCUGGCGGCGUGCUUAACACAUGCAAGUCGAACGGAAAGGCCUCUUUCGGGGGGUACUCGAGUGGCGAACGGGUGAGUAACACGUGAGUAACCUGCCCUUGACUUUGGGAUAACUUCAGGAAACUGGGGCUAAUACCGGAUAGGAGCUCCUGCUGCAUGGUGGGGGUUGGAAAGUUUCGGCGGUUGGGGAUGGACCCGCGGCUUAUCAGCUUGUUGGUGGGGUAGUGGCUUACCAAGGCUUUGACGGGUAGCCGGCCUGAGAGGGUGACCGGCCACAUUGGGACUGAGAUACGACCCAGACUCCUACGGGAGGCAGCAGUGGGGAAUAUUGCACAAUGGGUGGAAGCCUGAUGCAGCAACGCCGUGUGCGGGAUGACGGCCUUCGGGUUGUAAACCGCUUUCGCUCAUGACGAAGCUUUGUGUGACGGUAGUGGGUAAAGAAGCACCGGCUAACUACGUG